rnacentral:rRNA from 1 species
UACGUAGGGGGCAAGCGUUGUCCGGAUUUAUUGGGUUUAAAGGGUGCGUAGGCGGCUUUGUAAGUCAGUGGUGAAAUACUCUAGCUCAACUAGAGGGGUGCCAUUGAUACUGAUGAGCUUGAGUACAGAUGAGGUAGGCGGAAUUGACGGUGUAGCGGUGAAAUGCUUAGAUAUCGUCAAGAACACCUAUAGCGAAGGCAGCUUACUAGGCUGUAACUGACGCUGAGGCACGAAAGUGUGGGGAUCAAACAGG